rnacentral:rRNA from 1 species
AACGAACGCUGGCGGCAUGCUUAACACAUGCAAGUCGAACGAGACCUUCGGGUCUAUUGGCGCACGGGUGCGUAACGCGUGGGAACUUGCCCUUAGGUUCGGAAUAACUCCCCGAAAGGUGUGCUAAUACCGGAUAAUGUCUUCCGACCAAAGAUUUAUCGCCUUUGGAUGGGCCCGCGUUGGAUUAGCUAGUUGGUAGGGUAAAAGCCUACCAAGGAGACGAUCCAUAGCUGGUCGGAGAGGAUGAUCAACCACACUGGGACUGAGACACGGCCCAGACUGCUACGGGAGGCAGCAGUAGGGAAUAUUGGGCGAUGAGCGAAAGCCUGGUACAGCAAUGCCGGGUGAGUGAUGAAGGGCUUAGGAUUGUAAAGCUCUUUUACCCGAGAUGAUAGCGACAGUACCGGGAGAAUAAGCACCGGCUAACUACGUG